UUGUCUCGCCAGAGGCAUAGCUGGGGUAGCUACGUUUGGAAGUGAUAAGCGCUGAAAGCAUCUAAGCGCGAAGCCUACCUCAAGAUGAGAUUUCCCACAGCGUAAGCUGGUAAGACUCCAGAGAGAAUAUCUGGUAGAUAGGCUAGAAGUGUAAGUGCCGUGAGGUAUUUAGCGGACUAGUACUAAUAGGUCGAGGGCUUGACCUA
rfam:Desulfonispora thiosulfatigenes DSM 11270 genome assembly, contig: Dest_Contig00027